GAUGAACGCUGGCGGCGUGCCUAAUACAUGCGAGUCGAGCGAACGGACGAGAAGCUUGCUUCUCUGAUGUUAGCGGCGGACGGGUGAGUAACACGUGGAUAACCUACCUAUAAGACUGGGAUAACUUCGGGAAACCGGAGCUAAUACCGGAUAAUAUUUUGAACCGCAUGGUUCAAAAGUGAAAGACGGUCUUGCUGUCACUUAUAGAUGGAUCCGCGCUGCAUUAGCUAGUUGGUAAGGUAACGGCUUACCAAGGCAACGAUGCAUAGCCGACCUGAGAGGGUGAUCGGCCACACUGGAACUGAGACACGGUCCAGACUCCUACGGGAGGCAGCAGUAGGGAAUCUUCCGCAAUGGGCGGAAGCCUGACGGAGCAACGCCGCGUGAGUGAUGAAGGUCUUCGGAUCGUAAAACUCUGUUAUUAGGGAAGAACAUAUGUGUAAGUAACUGUGCACAUCUUGACGGUACCUAAUCAGAAAGCCACGGCUAACUACGUG
rnacentral:rRNA from 1 species